GGAGCAGCCCAGAGCCUGAAUCAGUGUGUGUGUUAGUGGAAGCGUCUGGAAAGGCGCGCGAUACAGGGUGACAGCCCCGUACACAAAAAUGCACAUAUUGUGAGCUCGAUGAGUAGGGCGGGACACGUGGUAUCCUGUCUGAAUAUGGGGGGCCCAUCCUCCAAGGCUAAAUACUCCUGACUGACCGAUAGUGAACCAGUACCGUGAGGGAAAGGCGAAAAGAACCCCGGCGAGGGGAGUGAAAAAGAACCUGAAACCGUGUACGUACAAGCAGUGGGAGCACGCUUAGGCGUGUGACUGCGUACCUUUUGUAUAAUGGGUCAGCGACUUAUAUUCUGUAGCAAGGUUAACCGAAUAGGGGAGCCGAAGGGAAACCGAGUCUUAACUGGGCGUUAAGUUGCAGGGUAUAGACCCGAAACCCGGUGAUCUAGCCAUGGGCAGGUUGAAGGUUGGGUAACACUAACUGGAGGACCGAACCGACUAAUGUUGAAAAAUUAGCGGAUGACUUGUGGCUGGGGGUGAAAGGCCAAUCAAACCGGGAGAUAGCUGGUUCUCCCCGAAAGCUAUUUAGGUAGCGCCUCGUGAAUUCAUCUCCGGGGGUAGAGCACUGUUUCGGCAAGGGGGUCAUCCCGACUUACCAACCCGAUGCAAACUGCGAAUACCGGAGAAUGUUAUCACGGGAGACACACGGCGGGUGCUAACGUCCGUCGUGAAGAGGGAAACAACCCAGACCGCCAGCUAAGGUCCCAAAGUCAUGGUUAAGUGGGAAACGAUGUGGGAAGGCCCAGACAGCCAGGAUGUUGGCUUAGAAGCAGCCAUCAUUUAAAGAAAGCGUAAUAGCUCACUGGUCGAGUCGGCCUGCGCGGAAGAUGUAACGGGGCUAAACCAU
rnacentral:rRNA from 1 species